UCCGUAAAAUAUAGUCAAGAAUGUUAAUUGCAGCUUAACUGUUGUUCAAAAAAAAGCCGUAAAGCUCGAGAUUCAAGUAAAAAUUGAAUUUUUAUAGCUAGUGACACAGCUACGUUUACAGCCAUAAUAUUGUUAGCGUCAGUUACAUCGAAGAUACUUCUAAUAAUGCUAUAUUCUUCAACACCACCAUGAAAGAAGACAUUCCCUUCGGGCCCGAGAAAAACAACCGAACGUACCCGUUAGAGACAUCCUGGGAAGCGGUGAUCUCCAGUACAUGACACAGCUAUUACAAUCCCCGUCACAAGCUAGAAGGAGAUGAUACACCAUGCUGGAAACACUGAAUCGAAGACCCGGUAUCUUUAUGUCUACGCAGACACCUCAGACCAAAACAGCUCAAAUAGAACAUCGUUGCUUAGCCAUUUACAAAUGAAUAAAUCUUGUAAAAUAGGUAAAAUCAAAAUUGUAACUUCCCUCCUCUCACCUCAAAUCCCCACUAGCUCGUAGUCGGCCACGAGAAAUAAAAAAUGUGCCUCCCUCUUUUUUUAAUCGAGAUUUAAUAAAAAAUGUA